rnacentral:rRNA from 1 species
UACAGAGGUCUCGAGCGUUGUUCGGAUUCAUUGGGCGUAAAGGGUGCGUAGGUGGCUAGGUAAGUCGGAUGUGAAAUCCCGGGGCUCAACCCCGGAACUGCAUUCGAUACUGCUUGGCUUGAGUACUGGAGAGGAGAUUGGAAUUUACGGUGUAGCGGUGAAAUGCGUAGAUAUCGUAAGGAAGACCAGUGGCGAAGGCGGAUCUCUGGACAGUUACUGACACUGAGGCACGAAGGCCAGGGGAGCAAACGGG